UUUUUUUUUUUUUUUUUUUUACAGAGAAGCAGUUUUCAAGUUUAGUACAUUGUCAAUCAAUGUCACAUCGUCCUUUUAUUUGACUGUGGAAUAAAGUAUGUGUUUUUUCAUCCAUUCAAAAUUUCCAGAAUGUUGUUUGGUUCGAUAGUUAUUCGACUUUCAUAAAAUGUUGUCGGCUUAUCAGUUAUUUUGAAGGAAUUCGCACCUUUGAGCUUGGCGAAAAUCUUCUUGUUUAAUCAUAAAACGACGUUAAAAUCAGAAAAUCAGCGGAAAUCGACAAAAAUAUACUUAUCAUGUUCUUUUUCUAUGAUCUUUGCAUGGAAUGUGUGAACUAUGAAAAUAGAGCUUUACGAUUCGAAGUAUGCGCGCUUAAAACGCGACCGAUUGUUCCCUACGGCUGAUCGAUGCUGCCCAUAAUUUUCUUUCGUAUAAGGGUAACGUUCACUCGGGAAUUCAUGAAUACUUCGACGCGAAUACCACGAAUGCCAACGGGUAAUUUUCAUAAAUAACUCGCGUUUCAAACUUCCUUGCGAAUUUCAAAGAUCAGCUAUCUUACGUAACUCUACCUCUUUUUCAUCAUUUUUAAGGACUUCCAAUAUUUCGAAGGUUUUCUUCGUGAAUCGAUUUAUCGGUUAAAUUUUCAUUGAAUUUCUCCAUGUUUAUGGUUCAUCGAUCCGAUUGACAUGGAUUUACGAUCCAGCUCGCCGCACAACUAUUUUGCUGCUGAAGAAAGUGUCAUUUGGCAAAGUAACGCGUAGCUGGAGAGAUAGACAUUUGCCGGAUGUUUUAAUCCGGCGCGCAAAACAGCGCGAGUUCCCUCGUCAUGGUAGAAAAUCCUGCCAGUUAGGACGAACGCUGUGUCCCCAGCAAAAACUCAGCCACUUAUCUUGCUCAGAAUCACACGUGAGUUUAGUUGCACGCUUUAUCAUUUAAUCACACACUGAUGAAAAUUUCAUUCAAAUAAAUGGAGUUAGGAUAUUCGUUUCGGACAGAUCCACCGUUCGAUUCAAAAUUCCGAAAACGACUGACUGUUCUUUUUGUUUAAUCGAUAUUCCAGAUAUCGGAUAAGAUCGAUCGUCUUUUUAAUUUUCUGCUGUACAACACGUCGGUCUUGACGUUCCACGAUUGACGUACUACACGCGUAUACACGUUACGAUACACGUUCAACGCGUUUGUGGAUGUUCGUUAUACGGCUAUCAAAGGGACAUCGGAGCAAUGGUUUUCGAUCACAGAAGGAACAAAAGUUUCUUUCUACUCACCUUGCCAAAAUUGGAGAGACCACCGAUGCGUGCCACUUGACCGGGUUCAUCCGCUGUGCUGCAUUCUGCCCUAACGAACCAAUAGGAUUACAGGGAGUCGUGGUAGGCGCGGACUACCAGGAACGGGUUUCGAGGAGUCUGAGCAAUUUCGGGACGAUAAUCGUCUGUAUUAGCGCCAUGUUCUCUAAGCUGGCAAACGGAACGAUGAUACGAUGUUCGCAAUGCUAACUGACACGAUAAUCGAUCGCCGGAGGAACGACGAGUAAACGACGAGUAAACGACGAAUGCAAUCGAUUUCGAACGGAUGGAGUUCUGAAUCCGAGGUCGGAUACUUUGCAUUUUCCUUUGAUAAUUAGCGAAUGGAAAGACGAUGGCCGGUACUUGGUCAUUUAACUGGGCUAUGCAUAUUCGGAAUAACCAGAAUUGAUACAUGGGUACGGGCAACAAAUAGUUGUUCACUACUUGUGGUCUAGUAAUUUGGUCUCGAUGUUUGUUAACUAAAAUGGGAUUUUCUACUUGCCUCGAAUACAUAGAUAUGCGAGUGACAGGGAAUUGGUCUCGAUGCGUGGCUAGCUAUGAUGGAAUUUUCUACUUGCUUCGGAUAGAUGUGCGAGUGAUGGGCACUUGGCCUCGAGGUACGGCUGACUAGGAUGGGAUCGUCUACUUGCUGUGACCAAAUAUAUGCAUAAGUGGGGAUAUAUGGUCUCGGUUGCUCGAUGUCGACAUAUGGCUGGACAGAACGGAAUUUUCUGCUUGUACCAGAUAGAUUAAAAUCUGAUACGUACUCAAUGUUCUCCUUCUAUUUAGCAUAUACCAAGUAUAGCACCGAGUACAGAAUUUGAGCGAAGAGAAAGGCUAGAAUAAGAGCAGAGCUCGAAAUAAAACUUUUCAUGUGAUCACGCGAAUAAAGAUCGUUUAUAUUUUAUGGAUAACCGUGUGUAUUCGGGCUAAAUGAACCAAUUACCCUUUGGUAGAGGAUGACUCCCACUGUAAUUAAUUCAAAAGCAUUGCUGCUAAUCACGCAGCUGUAACUGAUACCUAUACGUGAUCUAUUAUUAACACAGUAUUGACCUUGUGUCUGAUGAUAUCUAUAUCUAUAUAAUUACAGUGAAAUAGCGAUAUGAAGUGAAAUAAUAAUGUGAAAACGAGAGUGUAUCAUCAAUGUUAAUGUUUUCGAGGUAGUUACAUAUAUAACAAAAGGGGCAUUAUACAGAUCCGAUUUUUAGAGUGGAGAAUGUCUGCUAGGAUCGUACAACUGGUUUCAAUAUUCCGCGUUUGAUUUCUUAUGUUAUAAUAAAAUACUACAUUAUGUAGAUUUAAUAGCUCCAACUAAUAACGAAAAUUCGUGCAUCCUAUCCUCGUGAUUGUACGAGAGAAGCUGAGGCUAUGAACCAAUUUCCACCAUUAGAGCCGUCAAAUAGAGAGAUGGUAAGUUCACGUACCAAUAUACUGGUCAUUCCUACUUCAGCUCGCCAUUAGCCGAAACGUCUCCCCGUAUAGAUAUUUAUCUGGUGUCGGUGGAAUCUAUUGGAGUUGUAAAACGCGCACGGUCGAUACCGGAAAUUCCGAAACGCAGAUAAUAUUGUUACGGUUCCAUUAAUCCGCGCAUGAUUCAUUGUCCCGCCAGUUACGUAAUGCAGCGUAUAAAUAAAGAUUGGAUCGGCUUUGCCAAUGUUAUAAAUUUCACGGUCGAAAGAUAGGGUCGUCGAUCAUCAAGCUCGCGUUCCUCAGAUUUUUAACUGUGGCGUGAUUGUGUGUUGUUGUAUCGCGUUCUGGUGUUUCCCUUUUAAGCCCGUCGAAUUACAAUGUCCUGUUAUGUGUCACGAGUUUGUUGCAAAGUUUGUUCCGCUAUUAAACCCGUUCCCUGUUAAAAGCGGUAAAAGUUCCGUAUACUUGCCAUACCCCGCGCUGUUUAUUAACCGACAUAAUAGACGUCUGAAAGUUUCGUUCGUAUUAACCGUCGUUUGUUCUACGACGUCGUAUUUGAGAAUAAAGAACGUAUAAUAAAUGUACUAAGAGAGGAUUAAAUGUAAUAAUUUGAUAUUUCGUACUAACACUUUCGCUGCAAUUGGAGUUUCCUCUCUUUUCUCAGGAUCGAUGUGCAUGUAUCUUUUACUAGGAACUCUUUUGCAUUUGUUUUGUCUGUUAAUUACGCUAUUUUGCAAAACGGUUGUUAAAAAUCAAAUCGUCAAAAUAUAUCGUAUCACCGACGAGUAGUAUUUUCUUCUUAAGCACGAGGAAGAAAAGAAUAACUUAUUAUAGAAGAAACGUAACCAUUGUGUUAGCAGCAUUGUCGAAAUUAUUAAUAGACAGUAGCAAUGAACGUGUUAAAUUCAACUACUGGAAUUUUUCAAAAUAAAAUAUGAUGUUUCAACAUAUGAAAUGUCCGUUUGAAAUGUUGGAUUUUCCUACUAGAUUUCAUCAAGAAAUGUGUCGCUUGUCUGUGGUAUUGUUUUUACACGAUUGAAUGUUGAUUUAUGUUCGUUUUCCUCGUGUAUCUUUUGUUUGAAAUAGUGGUGGAAAUCCGACGGUAUUCUGUCUGCAAUGCCACAAUCAACGCACACGAAACUCGAGUCAUUUUCCCCUAUGAGUGUAAGUUCGUAUAGUUAUUCUCUCACCGAAAUUGCACAUAUUAAUACACACGAUAUUAAUAUAGAACGAUACGAAUGUGAGAAAAUUUUGUAAAAUCCAGGACACUGAUGAAUACAAUAUUCAAAAUAUCGUAUCUGGAAAGCCAAUAUGUGUCGAUUGUAACGAUAAAGCAAAAGUACAAUUAUUUGAACCGAAGAAAAUAGACGAUUUAUACGUUGUAAGCUUCACAGUGAAGAACAUAAUAAAACAGAUUUUUCGUAAGUCGUCUUUUCUUGCCACCAAUGUUAAGCUUUAUAGAAACUAUACCAAAGAAAUAAAUUUUUUAAUUAUUACAACUACGAGUACAUCUUGUAAUUUCUGCACGUAUAUAAAUAUUUUCAGAUUUGUUCCGAAUUUCACCAAUAUAAUCGUGACAGUCGAGUCCCAUAGCAGUGGCAAUAAAAUUUCAAUUCAAUUUCACGGAAAAUUUCACAUAAUAUACUCAUAGAUAUUUAUAAGCGUAGGAAUAUUUUUACGAUCCAGUGUAGCUAUUGGUUUAAUUAUGUUCUUCGCUGCAUUUUUCAUGCUAUCAGAUAGCAAUUUUAAUUUUACACCCCGUAUACGCAGGUAUCAAAUAAAAUUCGUACUUUAUUCCGGGGUAACCAGGGCAACGUGUCUCUCGCAAAAGCCGUCGGUUCGUUCGAGACUUUUUAUUGUUUCCCGCCCAGUUUUCCGCGUUGUCGUUCGUUUUUCUCAGCGGACGACAUAGUCGGUGCGAUGGGUGUCGCCUCGUAAAAGGGAAUUCGUCCAUUGUUUGUUCUAGAAUAAUAUUUCUAUACACGCCCGACAAUGCCGGCAGCUGGGUCGCGCUAUUCGCAAACCUUACGUAAUUCCGAAUCUCCUCGCCGCAUCGCGAACUUGAAACUAAAACAGUUGCCUCGAUGUUCGACGGUGUCGUCGAAACAGUUCCACCCGCGGAAAAUAUCGAUACGCUUCCGAACGUAGAACGUAUUGUGCUCGAGACAUGCCCCAAAUGCAACUUCCGAUCCAUUGAAGAUUUCCAAGAUUCUGCAAUUCUCCACAGUAGCUGUAUGUUGUUCGAUAUAUUUCUUGAAGUUUGAAUUUUUUGAAAUUUAAACGUAUUAGACCGCUCCAUAAGUAACGUCGUGUAGUAUAUGACGAUUAUGGGAGAAAAAUAUAUAAUAAAUAUACAAAUUCAAGGUGCAAAAUAGGAGAUUACUCGUGGAACGAUUUCAUAGCCGUUUGAAAUUCAGAAAUUUCGUUUAGUUUUCGAAGGAUAUGUCGAAUUUAUGGUGUGUGGAUAACGUUCGUUGCAAAUGUCUCGCGCUUGUAUUUUGUGCUUCGCUUUUAU